GUUAUAAAUAAAAUAAUAUUUUAAGAGGGAUUUUUGUGAAAAGGUAAAAGAUAUGGGCCUAAAAGUCCCUAAUUUAACGCUAAAACCCCUCGGAGACGGCAGCUCCCGGCUCCACCAAACCCCGUCUCUUCGUUUUCUCCGCAGGCUCCUUCCUCUCCUCCUCCUCCUCCUCCUCCUCCUCCUCCUCAUCCGGUUGCCGAAACCUUAGCUCGAUCUAUCGAUCGAUGGAGGCGGCUGCGCUGUCGCGCAUCGGGCUCGCCGGACUGGCGGUUAUGGGCCAAAAUCUAGCCCUCAACAUCGCCGACAAGGGUUUCCCGAUCUCCGUCUACAACCGCACCGCUUCCAAGGUCGACGAGACCGUCGGCCGCGCGGCGGUUGAGGGCGGCCUCCCCCUUUCCGGCCACCACUCCCCCCGCGAUUUCGUCCUCUCCAUCGCUCGCCCCCGCUCCGUUAUCAUCCUCGUCAAGGCCGGCGCCCCCGUCGACCAGACCAUCGCCUCCCUCUCCCAGUUCAUGGACCCCGGUGACUCCAUCAUCGACGGAGGCAACGAGUGGUACGAGAACACGGAGCGCCGCCUCCGCGAGGCCGCCGCCCGCGGCCUCCUCUACCUCGGCAUGGGCGUCUCUGGCGGGGAGGACGGCGCCCGCCACGGCCCCUCCCUCAUGCCCGGCGGCCACCUCCAGGCCUACCACAACGUCCAGGACGUCCUCGCCCGCGUUGCCGCCCAGGUCGACGACGGCCCCUGCGUCACCUUCGUCGGCGAGGGUGGCGCCGGCAACUUCGUCAAGAUGGUCCACAACGGCAUCGAGUACGGCGACAUGCAGCUCAUCUCCGAGGCCUACGACGUCCUCCGCACUGUCGGCGGCCUCUCCAACCGCGAGCUCGCCGAGAUCUUCGCCGAAUGGAACAGCGGUGAGCUCGAGAGCUUCCUCAUCGAGAUUACCGCCGACAUCUUCAGGGUCCCCGACGAGCACGGCGAGGGCGAGCUGGUGGACAAGAUCCUUGACAAGACCGGGAUGAAGGGGACUGGGAAGUGGACGGUCCAGCAGGCGGCGGAGCUUUCGGUCGCGGCCCCCACAAUCGCCUCCUCCCUCGACUCCCGAUACCUCAGUGGGCUCAAGGAGGAGAGGGAGGCCGCUGCGAGAGUUCUUGACGAGGCCGGGAUCGGCGGCGAGGUCUCGGGGCCGUUGUUGGGACGAACGAUCGACAAGAAGCGUCUGAUAGACGAUGUCCGGCAGGCUCUGUAUGCCUCCAAGAUCUGUAGCUAUGCCCAAGGGAUGAACUUGCUCCGGGCCAAGAGCGAGGAGAAGGGGUGGAACCUCAAUCUCGGGGAGCUGGCGAGGAUCUGGAAGGGGGGUUGCAUCAUAAGGGCGAGGUUUUUGGACAGGAUCAAAAAGGCGUACGAGAGGAACCGGAGGCUUGCGAACCUAAUUGUGGACCCAGAGUUCGCGAGGGAGAUGGUGCAGCGACAGGGUGCUUGGAGGAGGGUCGUGGGGCUGGCAAUUGAGGCUGGAAUCAGCACGCCGGGGAUGUGCUCCAGUUUGGCAUACUUUGACACAUAUCGCCGCGCUCGGCUGCCUGCAAACUUGGUGCAGGCGCAGAGAGACUACUUUGGGGCGCACACCUAUGAACGUGUCGACCGCCCUGGGUCGUUCCACACUGAGUGGUCCAAGAUUGCUAGGCAGAGCAAUGCCGGUGCAGGAUCAUAUCGAGAAUAUGCCUGGAGGUUAUGCGAGGAUGGUAUUUUAAUCAUAAACGGGUACAUGGGAAAACCAUAAAAGGUGGAAGAUGUUUGGCACCUGUUCUCACUCGAUGACUUCAGCAUCUACCUAGCGUUAGAAUUAUUAAUGAGAAAGGAUGCUAAGACAAGAAGAUUUGAGAGAAGUAUGAAAGAAAAAGAUAAGAGGGAGUUAAGAAAUUCUUAUCAAAUGUGCAGCAGCCCAGAGCUAUCUUUCAAGAUGCGAACCUUGAUGUAAUAUGUGCUUACUGCUAGAUAUAGGAAGUAGAAUGAGGAGGCCCGUUCUUCAAGAAGACUUAGCCAGAAGUGUCAGAAACUCCUCUAUCGACGAUUACCUCUAGUGCAGACGAAAGCAGGCCGAGGCACACUCCCAUAACGAAGCCACCCUCUGACAACCAAAAAGGGCAUGGAAAAUAGUCUCCUCUAUCUCCUGACAGGCCAGCAUCUCGGGGUGAUGUGCAUUCCUCGUCGGGCUAGGACUCCCCUGCAAGGUUUAAACCAGGUUUUGUGUAUGAAAGGCGUGUUCGUCAUGCUGGCCCACAGCAAGAUCCUGCCCCACCACCUGAAUCUGCACCUAUUCCUCAACCUCUUCGCAAGUCAACCCGCGCAUCUUGUCCUCCAAAUAGAAAGCAAUGCAAGAAGAACUCGAUGCUCUAGAACUGAAUGAUACUUGGGAGAUAGUUCUAUGUCCAUCUUCUGUAACACCCAUAGGCUGCCAGUGGGUUUAUUCAAUUAAACUCCAAUCAGAUGGAUCCUUGGACAGGCGUAAGGCGAGACUUGUGGGCCUUGGCAACCGUCAAGGAUAUGGUAUAAACUAUGAAGAAAUGUUUGCUCCAGUGGCCAAAAUGACUACAAUUCGCACAGUUCUUGCUAUAGCUGCAUCACAAGCUUGGCAUCUUCAUCAAAUGGAUGUAAAGAAUGCAUUUCUUCAUGGGGACCUUAAGGAAGAAAUUUAUAUGCGUCUUUCUCCUGGUUUGACGAGUACUUCUCCUACUGAUGUGUGUUGCUCGAAAGGGUCUCGUUAUGGUUUAAAAGAAGUCCAAGGGCUUGGUUUGAAAAGUUCCGAGAGACUCUUUUGGCACUUUCCUUUAUGCAAAGCCAAUAUGAUUCAUCUAUGUUUCUACACAAGACUUCUACGGACCUUGGUUGGGUGCUGGAAGCCACAAUCUAUCUGCUAGGGAACAAUGAGGAGGAAAUACAGUGCAGAGCGGCCAAAGAAAGUAGUUGUAAAGGUAAAGAUGGCUUGCUCUUUCCCUCCAUCUUGAUUCUUCAGAGAUUACAGAUUCCACCUGCAAGCCCUUUACAGCAGAAACUCUUGCCAGCAGGAUGUACGAGGUCUUCCAUCGGCCAGAGAGGCCAUAAAGGUAUGGUUAGUUUAUCACCAACUAUCAUGUUACAUGAGUGGAAGCAUUUUAAUUUUGACAAAGUCACUACGUAGAACCAUCUACCUCAAGAGAUCAUUAAUCAAUAUGCCCCAAUAUUAUGAAUGCAAUAUAUUACUUAUGAACAGAAAAAAAGAAAAAAAAUGUAAGAUUUGGUAUCUAGUAGAAGUUGUUUCUUUGAUUUUAUUAUGUUGAAUGGAGUUAAUCUAGUGUAAAACAUUUUUUAGGUGUUGUUUAUUGAAAAUGGCAGCGCAUAUCAUAUUGGAAUUCAUAGUUAAUGAUGUAUUUAUUAGAGUCAACAUGUGUUGGAAGCUACUCCUGCAAUCAGGACUUUUUUUAAGUGGAAAUCCAUAAUGUUUCCUUUGGGAUGCUUUGCUUAUUGAGUUGGAAUUGUGAAUAGCCAUACUUUUCCUUUAGAGAUAUGAUUCACAGUGUGAUAAAAUAAAAUACUUAAAAGAGACCCUUUUUUCUGUGAAUUCAUAUAUACAUAUACGAAAAUUUUGAACCAGUCCAGUGCAUAAGUUAUUUUAAAUCUGACUUGUGAUAGCAAUAAUGAUGAAGAAAUGUCCUAUUUAAACUAAGGUUCCAAAAGUUCUCGCUGCCUUUCCAUAGGUACUUAUGCAAAAAACAAAUCUUUAUUGAAAGACGCACAUAUUUUCAUUGUGGUUAAUACAAAUAGACGCAUAUUAUCUUCUAAACCAAUUAUUUUUUCAAAAACUUUGUAUUGUUAACAACUAUUUUGCAUGUUAUCAUGCUUAAGUGUAACCUCAUUAAGAUUUACAAGCUACAUGGCAGGAUUCUGCUGCUAGUUAGGUUCAGAUCUGACGAAUCCUGAGCUAUAUCUAUUCAGUAUUCACUAUUUUUUUAUUGCAAUAAACCAAUUAUCUAACAACAGAUUUGAUCUCUGAUCUUAAUCAUCUGAUUCGCGGUGAGAAAUUUUCUGUUAGCAGCAGUACUUUAGCACAGAACAUAGAGAAAGUAAAGUGGAAGAGAGAAGAGAGGACAAAAUAAGAGAACAGUAGAAGAUAAAGAAGAAAGGAAACACGGACCUGUGGCAUUCAUAUUUGUAUGAAUAUUAAAUCUCAUACAACUUUAUAUCCUACCUUAACUUAGGAGGACUCUUUGAAAGAGAAUGAAAUAAAACUGAAUCAGUCAGCCAAAAGCCCAAAACCUUUCUGAUGUCCUAUUAAUCAAUAAGAAAUAAGCGGUUAAUAGUGGCUGACCAAUUCCUAACAAUAUAUGUGCUGACCAGACCCCAAUUUGACUGACAAUAGAGACUCAACAACUAAAAAGUUAUAUGAAAACAGUGAAAAAUAGAAAAAUAAAAGCCCAAAAACUGAAAGUAAAUUCAGCUAUCUAAAUUCAUGAACUUUUGAGUUGCUAUUGCUUCACUUUCUUCAGAAAAUGUAACGGGUUCCAAUAAGUAAUGUGGAUUUGGUGCUUCUAUUCAAUGUAGUUGCUGCAGGUGCAGCAGUUAAUGAAUUGUUAUUUUACAUAUUUUAGGCUUACCUUCAUCCCUGUUUAUAACAUAGUAUAUCUCCCAGAAUGCUAUUUUUAGGUCAGUUUAGAAUAAUAUUGGACUAUUACUCCCAUGCAUGGUCGCUUCUGCCAUUUCUAUAUGAUGUUUACUACUACCUGUUUUACUUAGACAUGUCAUUGUAUUUCGGUGUCAGAUAUUGUAUAAAAAUAUUAAUAAUAAUAACUAUUUUUUAUUAUCUAUUCUGAGCAUCCAAAAAGAAAAAAAUCAUGAUAUGAAAUUUGAGAUGCUUCAAUAGGUAGAUCUUGCAGUAGGCAUUUGUUGCAUGGGCCGGUACAGCAAAAUCUCAUGUCCCUCCAUAACUUCCUAGGUGAGAUAACUAGCUGCUUUUUCCACUCUUAUAAUUAAGUUGUGUGAAUCAAAUUUCAACUGCAAGUGUUAAUAAAAUUAUAAAAAGGAUUUUAGUCUAUGGAAAACUAGCCCUUCUUAUUAUCACUUAGUAGAAUCCGGUAGUUACAUCCUUUAUAGACCAAAUAGGGUAUGUUGUGGGAAGAGUUCUAGGUGAUGCCUUUCCCCUCUGAUCACAAAGUUUCAUUUGAUUAAGAAUAGGCGUUUAUUAUGUUUCAUACUUUAGGUAAAGCACAUUGUUCUGACUUGGCUUUUUAUUUUUACUGGGGUGGCUAAACCUAAACAAAUGAGGGGUGCUGCCUGAUCUGAAUGAUCUAGCUUUCUCAAUGUACAUUAAUUUUAAGAAUUACAACUUUCUUUAGGCUAUGAUCUCAUUUUCAUUUUGAUUGCAGGUCUGAAUGGCCAAACGUGUUAUUCUUAUCUCAGCUUAUAUAUCUUUGGUAAAUAUCUGAUGUCUUAACUAAUACCACCCACAACAACUAAAGGUUCAUAUGGUAUAACAUGAUGUUAUGCUUGUUAAUGUUUUACCUCCAUCAUAUCUUUAUAAUAAGCAUUAGAAUGCUUGUCUUGCUUGGCUUACCAGAAAA